UCUAAACCCAUUGAACAUAAUGAUCCAACGCCAUCUCCCAAUCUUGAAUUCCUUGUAUUUGAGGCAGAGGAAGAUGAUGUUGAAGGGGAUUCCUGAUGAGAUUACCCGUCGCCUUGAGCAUGAAAAGGAGCUCAUUCAGCUGUAUCAUGAGAAUCAGCAAAACAGUCAAACUGGGGCAUUACAAAUGUAAUGUAAAAAAUAAAAAAUAAAUAAAAAAAAAAAGGAGAAAGAAGAGGAAAAAAAUAAGAAAAAUCAAAAAUCAGGAAAAUUUUUUCAAAUUUUUUUCAAAAGAAAAAAGAAAAAAAGUAUACCCUCAAAGUCCCUAGUUGACUGAUGCUGAAUGGAUUCAGAGUCGUUAUGACCAACUGAAUUUGAUCGAAG
rnacentral:lncRNA from 1 species